rnacentral:rRNA from 1 species
GGUGAAGCCAAGCUUGCUUGGUGGAUCAGUGGCGAACGGGUGAGUAACACGUGAGCAACCUGCCCUGGACUCUGGGAUAAGCGCUGGAAACGGUGUCUAAUACUGGAUAUGAGCUCUCAUCGCAUGGUGGGGGUUGGAAAGAUUUUUCGGUCUGGGAUGGGCUCGCGGCCUAUCAGCUUGUUGGUGAGGUAAUGGCUCACCAAGGCGUCGACGGGUAGCCGGCCUGAGAGGGUGACCGGCCACACUGGGACUGAGACACGGCCCAGACUCCUACGGGAGGCAGCAGUGGGGAAUAUUGCACAAUGGGCGGAAGCCUGAUGCAGCAACGCCGCGUGAGGGAUGACGGCCUUCGGGUUGUAAACCUCUUUUAGCAGGGAAGAAGCGAGAGUGACGGUACCUGCAGAAAAAGCGCCGGCUAACUACGUGCCAGCAGCCGCGGUAAUACGUAGGGCGCAAGCGUUAUCCGGAAUUAUUGGGCGUAAAGAGCUCGUAGGCGGUUUGUCGCGUCUGCUGUGAAAUCCCGAGGCUCAACCUCGGGCCUGCAGUGGGUACGGGCAGACUAGAGUGCGGUAGGGGAGAUUGGAAUUCCUGGUGUAGCGGUGGAAUGCGCAGAUAUCAGGAGGAACACCGAUGGCGAAGGCAGAUCUCUGGGCCGUAACUGACGCUGAGGAGCGAAAGGGUGGGGAGCAAACAGGCUUAGAUACCCUGGUAGUCCACCCCGUAAACGUUGGGAACUAGUUGUGGGGACC